GACAGAGGGUGCAAGCGUUGUUCGGAAUUAUUGGGCGUAAAGGGCGCGUAGGCGGCUUGGUAAGUCAGAUGUGAAAGCCCAGGGCUCAACCUUGGAAGUGCAUCUGAAACUGCUUGGCUAGAGUCUCGGAGAGGGUGGUGGAAUUCCCAGUGUAGAGGUGAAAUUCGUAGAUAUCGAGAGGAACACCGGUGGCGAAGGCGGCCAACUGGACAGAUACUGACGCUGAGACUCGAAAGCGUGGGGAGCAAACAGG
rnacentral:rRNA from 1 species